UACAGAGACCUCAAGCGUUAUCCGGAAUCAUUGGGCGUAAAGCGUACCGAUAGGUGGUUUACAACGUCAGAGGUGAAAUCUCAAGGCUCAACCUUGAGUCUGUCCUUUGAUACUUGUAAACUUGAGGGGCAAAGAGGAAGCUGGAACAAACGGUGUAGUAGUGAAAUGCGUUGAUAUCGUUUGGAACACCAAUAGCGUAGGCAGGCUUCUGGGUGCCACCUGACACUGCUAGGACGAAAGCGUGGGGAGCGAAUGGG
rnacentral:rRNA from 1 species